UGGUGAGUAGGGAGGAGGAGGUGGAUCGCACGCCACGUGGGGGUGGAGAGCCGCCCCCCACGUGCCCGGGUCGGAGGGGCGGGUGCUUCCCUUGGAUGUUAGCGGGGCGCCUCCUGGCUGCCGGCGGGUGAUCCCUCAGUGCGUCCUCAUGACGCUCAUCGUGGACUGUGAUCUGAGAGAGAGAAAUGAGCGGUCAGCGUGGGCCUCACUGUGGAAAGGUGGGGGAUAAACAGCUGUCAGCGCCGAUCUGGAGGUCGUUGCCGCGAUGUUUUGUGACAGGAGGGCAUUUCUGAUGGCCGGCUGUGUCAGAGGGGCCUCUGUGGUGCCACAGUUGCUUUGGGCCUGCUCUGAUAGCGCAGAGCACUGACAGCUCCUCAGGCUUUGGCUGGAACUCACUGCUCUCCUGGAGGAGAGACAGGCUUGGCCUGGACGGUGGUAUCACCUUAAUCAGGGUGAUAUGAAUGUAGGUGGUUAAAUGAGGGUAAGGAAAGGGAGAGUCAAAUGAAAAGUCAAAUGUUGGCAUGCUGGAAGUGGCCCACAGCCUUUGUGCUGCCUGCAAACAGAGUUUGUAAGGGAGUUUGAAGUGUGGAGCUGUGCUUGCCAGUACCACAGGUAAGAGCAUGUGUUAUGUUUCAAUAAGUGGUGUGGUUCUGCUUUAGUUCAGAAGGUGAAAAAUAGCAGCCGUGGAACUGUUCAGAGCAAAUGCUCUUUUUUAAACAAACAAAGAAACCCCCAUCACAAUGGGUCUUCCAAUGUGAAAUACUUUUGAGCUAUGGAGGAUGCAAGGAGGAAAGUAUGAUGCGUGUGUAGAUGAGAUGGAGAUAAAUAGAUGUAGAUAUGAGGAGGGGGACAAAAAAGUGAACUCUCCUUUAAAUUAUGUCAUACUGACAGGUUUCAAAACUCAGAGUAUUCUGUAUAUUUUACAGCAGAUUAUACGUGAAUGCUUGUUAGCAUUCAUAUACCCUAUGCUUUUAUUUCCAAGUCCCCUCUCCCAGUACGUCUAGUAGAGUUUUCACCUCAAAGGCGGAUCCUUAAACUUGAAUUGCUGCAGCGUGCUUUGAACCCCGCCAGAUAAUCUGCAGGCUGUUGACACCAUAAUGCUAUGAUGGUCUGUAUGCCAUUAAAAUGGAUCACAGAAAUGCCCGUCUAUAGAUCCUUAACUCAAUACGUUGAGUCAGUGUACUGUAUAGAUCCUUUAAUCCAUAGGCUAUUAUUAAAAUAGUGGAUUAAGGAGUUGUUUGGGAUGAGGGCAUGCUGUAUAUGUAACAAAACAGUUUAGCUGAGAUUAGUAUUUAUUACUCAACAGAAAAAUUGAUUGAAGGAUUCAUAGAUGCUGAUAAUGUCAGAGCCUGGGAGGCACUAAUGCAUUUGAUUGCUGUAUUUUUGCUAUGUGAGCCCUCGUUAAGCAAACCUGUUAUAUGCAAAAUAUUUUAACUAAAUACUAAUGUAAAACACAGCUCUUGGGUGGCUUAAAACACUUAACAUGAGGAUGGGUACAGAAAGGACAUUCGGACUUGUGAAACAAUAACUUUAUGUAAGAGAGUUCACGAGAUGCUAUACAAAUCACUAUCAACUUACUCCAACCCAAAGUGAACUAGAAAACACGUAUUUUUCCACACAGUUCUUUGUCAGAAAGGAGAGUUUUAUUCAGCCAUGUGUUAAAGUUUAACUGAUCGAGGCGGUCGCAGUUUUACAGACCUAUCUUUAAUGCAACAGAAGGUUGUCAACAAACCUUUUCAGUGACAUCUCCACAUUAGGAUGGCAAGCAGAUGAUUUGAGGAUUACCAGGCUGCCGGACAGGUCAGCUGGGAUCUUAAAAAUCUCUUCUAUAAAAGACCAAAUCUGCAGCCAGAAGCUGUUUACUGCGGGGAAGGGGGAGGGAAAUGGGUUUUGUUUAAGAGGCGUAGACCCGCCGUUUUGUUUGUGUCUGCCACAGAUCAUUGUCUUUAAAGCUCUCUCUGUAUCAUGGAGAGCUGAACUUUGGUUGACACUUGUUCCUAAUGAACCACUGGGCAAAGUCAAAUUUUAGUACUGAAGCUAAGAUGAAAGGAAAAAAUGGUUUGUAAAAUGUAUGACAUUCACUAAGUGCUGAGUAGUCACAUCUGUUAGUUUCAGGACCAGUUCCUACCUCUUUGCAGACCCUGGGCACACGGUGGUAUGGUUUAAAGGAGCUUAUGAUGCCCCAUGCAGAAGGCCUGAGUGAAUGAAGUUGGCACCAAGUGAUACCACAAAGGCAUCACUUCAGGUUGCUGGUAUCUUCAGAAGUUACACUCCACUUUGACAUGAUAACAGGUGAAAGGAACAUUGAAAGACUUCUUAGAGAAGUCACCUCUAGCCUACCUGUGACUCUCACGCUUCCCAUAAUGUUUCACAUUUCUGAAGUCCUCGUGUGAAAUGCUGCAGUACUUCAUGAUUUCAGUGCCAGAGGGGAGAAAAGAAAAUGAAAUCAGGAAACAGAGCUGUGACAGAUGUUUACUAAAAUGUUCUCAGCUGGUAAAUUUGACAAGAAGAUAAGAAUCGUCUUCUGAAUAUAGUUUAUAAUCUGAAUGUAGACUAUGAAACUUCAUUUAGAUGCUGUUGCCUUCAGUGGUGUCAGAAGUGAAAUGAUUUUGUUUUCAUCGAAUAACUCAGGUGCCCAUGCAUCCCAGCAAGAAACAGAGGCUUUCCAUCAGAUCACCGCCUGUAUUUGUACCGCAGUAAGGCGAUUCAGGUUUCUCCAACUAAGCAUUCACAGUUGCAUAACUACCGAUCACUUGAGCCGGAGAAUGUAACCACAGAAGCAAGGAUAUUAAGAACAUCCAGUGACACGCUUUCAAGAGGUUUAAAUCAAGUCACACUACAGCUCAUGGUGUUUGUAAACAACAAGCAGUCGCCCAUUUCCUGUUUUGAACACAAAACAUGGAAGAGUUAUCUGAAAUCGGCAUUUCCUAGUGGCUGCGUGCAGGGAGGACCAUGAAAACAAUUCUGCCCACAACAGCUGUGGUUGGAGAUAUGCAGAACACAAGGGGUGUGGCUCAUCUGGCAGGGAUUUGUAGCACAAUAGUUCAGGAGAUGUUAUCUGAAGUAUUCUUACAUGUCAGCUUCUAGGAGGUUAAUAAUGACAGAGUACCUUAACCAAAGAGAUGUUUAUUGGGUUCAGUAUUCGAGCAUCAUUAGGCUAAGGUCUUUGUAGAAAAGCAAAUCAAUAAGGAUGGAAAGAAAAACAACACAAACCCAACCUUACAAAUGACAAACGGUACAUGAAGAUCAAAUUGAAGUAAGAUUUUAUCAGCUUUGUGAAAAAGAAAACAAACUACCGAAAGCCAAACCGUGUUUUGAAUCUACAUUACUGAACAUCAUCGGAAUACAGUACUCCAUUUUUCAAUAAAGCAAGUUUCAGUUGAAUGCCAGUCACCUGAAACUGACAGUAGUCUCUUAAUGUAAGGCAAAAAUAGGAAUUGGCUUUUUUUCUUUUAAUGUACAUUAAGUACAAUUGGCAAUAAUUGCCAUAUGCUUCACCAAGACCUUCCAAAAGCAACAGCAGCAGAGAGUGCUGACUCGUGUGUUAAGAUCUUCUCAACAUACUGACCAUUCCAUAGCAAUUCCCAAACAAGAACCUGCACUAAGUGCACUAAGGACUGUCUGGAUGCUGCCGAAUGUCUCUGCACGCUUUCAUUCUCAUGCUCCACAACGUUACGGCCAUGUGGACUCAACUAACACGUACUGCAGACCUAAAGGUGUGUUGAUACACACAGCGUGGCAGAUAACGCCAUAAAAUACUCCAUGCAACCUUUAUGCUCACCUCUCCCAUAUAGUAUUUGCAGAUUUGUAUGAAGUUUUAACAGGUAACGACCCACUGAAGACAUUUUAACAAUAUUUAUUAGAUUAUGAAUUUAUAAAUUCAAGGACUCGGAGGCACGUAGUUUAAAAGGCCAAGAACACUGAAACUAAUGAAGUCACAGAAAUCAGAAUAUUUGUGGACGUAAUACCAGUAAAAAAUAAAAAUCACAUCCAAACUAAAAGCAACGCUUCUCAAGAGUCAUCCUUCAAAGUUAGCAUAAUAAAAAGUUCUCAUUUCCCUCAAAGAAAAAUAAUUCAUCCCACCUACCAAGCUAGAAAAUCCUAUUUACAAUUGUACUUUAAUCAGAAGUAUCAUUAAGUUGCGUUACACAGCCGGUUCUAUUCUGCCAUUAGAAUUUAACAUUUAUUUUAAGGUAUCGUUGUAUUUACAAACGCAUAAAUAUUGUAACUCUGAUCUUCAUUGAGAUCUGCAUGAAAACAGGUUGUUAAGUCACAAUACAAACGUGUUAGUGGAAGAAAGUGUUUGGGGCAGCUGCAUAUUCAGUAUCAUUCUCAAAGAACAGAAAGCCAACACUUCUGAUAAAGCUUGAGUUCAUCACGCAGGCCAGGUCUUUAAGUUAUGUUCAUGAAGAUUUAACCUCUUCCGCGUUAAUUCUUGACGCUGUUUUUAUUUUCAGUCAACUUUCACCACGCUGUAGAUUUUGGUUACAAACCAAAAGCAUGCAAAGAAUCCAAUUGUCCCUAAAAAAAGAAAAGAAAGGUUACAUAUUAGGAAAAGUUACACAGUAGCCAUUAAUUUCAAUCUAUGUAUGCAAUCCACUAUUGGCGGUCUUCAAUAUAAUCAUCAGAUCAGAUAAAGUUAGAGCUGGAACCUGGCCUUUACAGGCAUCCGCUAAUCUGUAUGUACUCAGUCUUCCCAAUCAGAAAGAUGUCGUGUGGAACUCAUUUUAAGUCGCUUCAUUUCUCUUCUUACUACUUGGGCUUUUUGUUGCUGUCACGAUUCCCCAAGCCAGCUCCUUUGUAUUGCUCCAUUACACCCUACCUCAGCAACCAGUCCCGCACACUUUACCUGGUCUGCUUGGAUGCUAGAAAACUUGAUUUAACAAAUCAAUUGGAGUGACAGCAUCAAAAGAAGCUCGCCUAUCUUAGCUGUACUUUAAGGUCUCGGGAAAUUAGAGCACAGAUGAAGUUAAUAAGGAUUUCGAUACAUGGUGCAGUUACCAGGCAACCUGUACUUCCUACCAAAAACGUGCGAUGUACCAUAAAAAUAAAUGCUUCUGAAAUACAUGAGGCAGUCAAAAGGCAUCAACAAACCUGAGCUAAAAUUUAAGGAUGAGGACUAUUUCCCUUAAAAAGGGAGAAUCUCAUUAUGAAGCUCCAACAGACAGACUGGCAAAGCACAAACGUAUCGACUACUUUACAUGCACAAGAUUUUUGUUGAAACUGUUUUGCUUCAAAGCACAGCCUCAGUCAGAACGAUACUGCGCUUAAAAGCGGCUCAGAACAGCUGUUACAGGAACCUUCACCUCCCACAAAAAGUAGGACAGGAAAAAAGCUGUGACAAUUAUCUGAUUUGUGCCUGCAUACCUCCUAUAAAGCCACCUUUUAAAAUACCACCUUUGUUGAAGAUUUGCUAAGAUGCACAACAGAAGUCGUACACCAACUCAUUCAGUACACAAGCUAGUAGAGAACCAUGAAUGAUAUCUCAGUAAUUUUUUUUUUCCUUCACGCUUGCUAAACUGCUGAUGUUUAACUGACUCAUUGACUCUGAUACGUAGCUGCGGUCCCAGCUGUGAAUCAAAGAUUUGUCAUGUAGCUCCCGGUAUUUUGCCUGCUGAGUCUGAUCAAUGACCUGGAAUGCAGUAUGGAAGCAAGUGCCUGAAGCAUGUGUUACACUGACAUAGCAGCAGGGCACCAUCAGAACCCUUCCUGAUACUGACAAUUUUUAACAGAUGAGUAAGCAACAGCAGAAUAGUUUUGAUACAACAAUUAUGAUUUUCUCUUUUCAGCUUCUUUAUCAUCCUGACACAGGCAGUCAGUUGCCUUUAGGAGCAGUUUUUGCUAAAUUGCUAGCAUGGUUUUACAUUUAAAAAUCUGGAGAAGUCACUACCCCCUUAACACGCAUCUAAUGUUUGCUAUAAAACCUCAUCUCAGUGCUUGGGUGCAUCUCAGAGAACUGGAAUCAUCCGCCUUGGAAUGCAUAUCAGUAUACCAAGCUAAAUGGACAGAAUUCUGUGUUCCAUAAUUACAGGGUAAUUUACCCUCACUCUUGUGGGAAUUAAAAAAAAAAACAACAAAACCCAACAAAAAAAUCAUUAAGCAUAAUUUAAAAAAAACAAAAACAAACCAUUAGGCGUAUGAAUACUUCAAAGUUAUAAUCCUACAGUUAAUUUUGCUUAUAUUUUCCCCUAAUUUCAAUGCACAAGUGGAAGACUUCUAAGAACUAAAGCAUACAAACUAACUGUUUAGCCUGAAUCACAGACCAUCUCCGCUGUCCCAAUUACAUAUAGAUGACUACUACAGAAAGUAUCUGAAGAGGUCUAGGAGUAAAUCAUUUAUUCUUUGCAUCCCUGUGAACAUAUCCUGAAAAGCAUUUCCCAGAUUCACUGACAGGUACUGCGCAGCCAGUUGGUGAUGGUCAACCCAAAGUGAACAUGUGAGCAAAGGAAAAGAGUGCGCUGCACACAUCUUGAAGGCAUCAUGUGACAUGACUGGCUUGACAGAGCAAAGCGAGUGAGAGAAGGAAAUCACAUGUGUAAGGUACAGAAAAGCAGCUAGAACAAAAGCCUCAGCACAGAAAAUACAGUCCCAUUUAUUUUCUAUGCAAAAGCAAUUCUGGCUUUGGCCAAAACAUAUCAAAUAUCUAUUAAAAAAGGUAAUGAAACUAAAUUAACGAAUUGUAGACUUACAUCAGGCUUUUUUUUUUUUUUUUUUCCAUGACUUUAAGCAUAUCAAUGUUUAAAUGUGAUGUAUAUGUGAAAUCACAGAAUCAUUAAGUUGUUAAAGAAGUCAGCAAGUUUAACUUUCAACCUGACAAACCAAGUCCCAUCACUAAGCCUUGCCCUUAGUGCCACAUCUCUCCUAUGCCCCAGGGACCAAGGCUCCAUCACUUCCCUAGGCAGCCACUUCCAAUGUUUGCCAACCUUUCCACAAAGAAAUUUUUCCUACGUCCAACCUAAUUUUCCCCUGGCACAAGUAGAGGUCAUUUCCUCCUGUCCUAUUACUUGUUACUUGACAGAAGAGACCAGCACCCUCCUCAGUGCAGCCUCCUGUUCUCGAGGCCCAAUCACCUAAAUGCUCCCAACUGUUCCUCACAACUCUUGUUCUCUAGUUCCUUCACCAGCUUUACUGCUUUUCUCUAUGUAUGCUCAAGCAAUUCAAUGUGUGCUCUCAGCAGUGAUGCUUACAAGGGGACAAUCACUUCCCUAAGUCCUGCUGGCUACACAAUUUCUGAGGCAGGCCAGGAGCAUCGGCAUAUGGCAGUGUACACUUGUUCUCAGGCUAACAACCAUGCAUUCUUAAGUUUUGUACUUCAAUGAGGCUAUUAGUAAAGCCAGAUCAGAAAUAAAAGGUUAAGAAAAAGUCAGAGGAACAAGAGGGAGCGAGGAAGGAAAACAGAAUGUGAUCUGUGUCUUCAGAACAGCUUGCUAAUUAGCACACAAAAUACAGAUAAACACAGAAAUGACAGGCAACCUCCAAAACAUGCUACCAAGGCCCAAAGAAGUUAAAUUGACUAUUUAAAAGACACGGACACAAGCCCAUCACUCUUGGGACACAGCUUUUUAAAAGGCUUUUUGGUAACAUCACAUUCUCUCUUUUCAACCAUCGGUGAGCAGAGAAACUCUUUGGAGGCUCUUGUUCCUGCUCCUCAUCUACAUUCAGGUGUGGAUCACAAACUGCUUUGAAGUAGCAAGGUCUUUGACAUUAAUAUGUGAUAUUUGUUUUAAGAAUAAACACUCACAAAUAUCAGUGCUCUUCUCCAACUGAACUUUUUCUUCUCUGCGUCCAGUGGAACUGAAAAUUCUACUUAUAGUGGAAUCUAUUAAAAGCUCUGAUGGUAAACCAUUUGUGCUCUAACAGGCUGCAAAGUAUAGCCUUUAUAGUUGUAUGCAUAAAGCUGUAUCAGAGCUUUAGAAAUCACUAGGUUUUCUUCAUAAACAUGGAACCCGAAAUCAUUUUAAACACUGAUCAGUUCAAAGCAGCUUAAAAAAUAUACUACUCUGUAGGGAAUGCUAGAACAGAAUUAAAAUUUUUUAUGUAUUUUGAGGUAUUGCCACGUGGUAACUUCUUGCAUGUACAUUUGAAAGGAAACUUCCUGCAUCCUCCACUUCAAACAACGGACGAGCAUAUCUGACUGGAAAUUCCUUUCUAGCAUUGAAGAUAAUGGCAGAGGGAAGAUUGUCACCUCAUCUCACUGAUGAGCAAAGUGCAGUACAGCACUUGAGACACUGCUUGUCCAGAAACUCACACUAAGGAUGACAAGUCUCUAAUGAUACUGUAUCAAAAAUAAAUGUUUCUCUGCCAUUUCUUCAGUGCAGCAGGAAAAGAGGUACAAAGUUGCAGAAGAAAUCAAAUUAAGAGACUAUAUUGUAGACAUAUGUUAUAUUUGUAAUCUUGUAUCAAGAUAAGCUUUGCCAAGUCUUCUCCCAUGGGGAGAUGAAGGUAAAGAUGAAGGUAAACAUUUAAAAAUCAAGGCUCAAAGUACUUACCCGUGAAAAGGAAGAAGAUCAAAACCAUAAUCAUGGUAUAACCAAAAUAUAAAAUGGUGCUAGCUGUUCCUGUGAUUUGCAGUUUA